UGAAGGCUGUCAGUUUACCUGGACACGCUUACCCAAGGCUAUGUGGAUUCCCCAGCUGUUUAUUCGCUGGUACUCCAACAUACUCUAAAAAAAACAUGGACCAUCGGUCAUGGUUCCGUCCUUUUUGCAAAAUGUUGAUGAUUUGUUGUUAUGUAGCCCUAGCUAUGAGGCAAGCACUGUGGAUACUGUCAGCAACUGUAGGUCACAAGGUUGUUAAACACAAAAUGCAAUUGUGUAAAUCAAAGGUUGAUUACUUAGGUUUUGUUCUGGCUUCAGGCACCAGACAAUUGAGUCCAAAACGUAUUGAGGUCAUUCAGAGGAUUCCAACACCCACUACUCGGAAGGAGUUGCUCACCUUCCUCGGCAUGAUUAAUUACUGCCACCAUGGAUCCCUGAAUGCUCCCAUUAUGACUCAAUCCUAAGGGAGGCUGUACGUUCUGACAGCCCUGAAAAUGUCUGCUGGUCACCAGACAUGCUAGCUGCAUAUAUUGCCCUUACAGUUGUUAUUGUGCAAGCCCAGGCUUUAUGACUACCUGUGUAUUGUAAACCAUUUCAUUUGUAUGCUUGGGACAAUUGUAAAACCAUGGCCGCGGUCUGUGCACAAGAGCAAGGAGGCGGUAUGCGUCCCAUAGCAUUCUUUUCCAAAGUAGUUCGAGCUCCGGUACAGGGUAUGCCGGCGUGUCUCAGAGCAUUGAUAGCAUGUGCAAUGGCUGUUGAAACUGCUACUACUAUCACACUAGGGCAUCAUACAAUACUUCAUGCCAGUCACCAGGUCACUCAGCUGAUAAUAAAUAUCACCAUACAACACAUGACAGCCCAGCGCUUCAGUGGUUAUGAGAUUUUUUUUUUUUUAAAUACCCAGAAUCUGUCUUUUGGAUUAAACAAGGUUUAGAGAAAGAUCAAAAUGAUCUGUUCUCUAAAGAGGGGAGAAUAGGCAUACUUGAAGAAUAGGCAUACUUGAAGCAAGCUGAUUUAUUUUCAUCAGUCAGGCAUAUAGCAAGCACCAUUCAAUUCUUCAUGAAUUCAUUUUAUAUUAGGAAUCUCAGGCAGCAUGUACAGUCUUUUGUAAGAUCGUGUGAACGCUGCUCUUUUUACACACUUACAGAUUGAUUUUAUUUAUGUAUCCAAAAUUGGUAAGAAACAGCAAUACUUACUGGUCAUAGUUGAUCAGUUUAGUAGAUGGCAUGAGGCCUUUGUGACAUCUAGGGAAGAUGCUAGUGAAGAUUAUUGUUACUGAAAUUAUUCCCCGGUAUUGCUGCCCUCUGCAGAUUGGCUCUGAUAAUGGCCCGGUUUUUGCAAGUGGGGUUGCCCAGGAACUUGCUAAAUUCUUGCAAGUUACCUGGCAGUUUCAUAUACCCUAUCAUCCACAGAAUACAGGGGUUGUUGAAAGGAUGAAUAGGACUAUUAAGGAAAAGCCCAGAAUUUACCCAGGAACAUGGGUAAAUUGGACUAGAUAUCUACCAACUAUUUUAGCUGAGAUAAGAAUGAAUCCCCACAAGGUGACUAAAUUAUCUCCAUUUGAGAUUUUGAUGGGAUGACCUUUUCCCACACCCUGGGCCAGGGAAC